UACGUAGGGUGCGAGCGUUGUCCGGAAUUACUGGGCGUAAAGAGCUCGUAGGUGGUUUGUCGCGUUGUUCGUGAAAACCGGGGGCUUAACCCUCGGCGUGCGGGCGAUACGGGCAGACUUGAGUACUGCAGGGGAGACUGGAAUUCCUGGUGUAGCGGUGGAAUGCGCAGAUAUCAGGAGGAACACCAGCGGCGAAGGCGGCGCUCUGGGCCGGUACUGACGCUGAGGAGCGAAAGCGUGGGUAGCAAACAGG
rnacentral:rRNA from 1 species